GGGGCUGUAGCACAAGGAGAGGGAUGUUGUUUUCACAUGAAAGGGCAAGGAAAUUUAAGAUUCAUUUAUAUGAAUGAUUGAGAGACGAUAAAAGAUUGGCCUAAAUACUUUGUGGACACCAAAAUGAUUGAGAGCUCGAGAAAGAAACGGAAGGAAAGAGAAAGAGAAUAGGACGUGCUAGAUUUUUGUUGGAUGUUAGCAAAAGACUUGAUUGGAGUUUUGACUACCGAUUUGGUAUUUUAGGGAGAUGAAGAUGGGAUCAAACCCUAGGCGUAUUUUGGAAACAAAUAAAUUCAUUUUUCCAGCAUAAACAUUGUGCAAC
rnacentral:lncRNA from 1 species